rnacentral:rRNA from 1 species
UACGUAGGCAGCAAGCGUUGUUCGGAGUUACUGGGCGUAAAGGGUGUGUAGGCGGUUCUCUAAGUCUGGUGUGAAAUCUCCCGGCUCAACUGGGAGGGUGCGCCGAAAACUGGAGGACUAGAGUGCGGGAUGGGAGAGUGGAAUUCCUGGUGUAGCGGUGAAAUGCGCAGAUAUCAGGAGGAACACCAAUGGCGAAGGCAGCACUCUGGGACGUGACUGACGCUGAGACGCGAAAGCGUGGGGAGCAAACAGG